AUUGAACGCUGGCGGCAGGCCUAACACAUGCAAGUCGAACGGUAACAGGAAACAGCUUGCUGUUUCGCUGACGAGUGGCGGACGGGUGAGUAAUGUCUGGGAAACUGCCUGAUGGAGGGGGAUAACUACUGGAAACGGUAGCUAAUACCGCAUAACGUCGCAAGACCAAAGAGGGGGACCCUCGGGCCUCUUGCCAUCGGAUGUGCCCAGAUGGGAUUAGCUUGUUGGUGGGGUAACGGCUCACCAAGGCGACGAUCCCUAGCUGGUCUGAGAGGAUGACCAGCCACACUGGAACUGAGACACGGUCCAGGACUCCUACGGGAGCAGCAGUGGGAAUAUUGCACAAUGGGCGCAAGCCUGAUGCAGCCAUGCCCG
rnacentral:rRNA from 1 species